rnacentral:rRNA from 1 species
AUACGGAGGGGACAAGCGUUAUUCGGAAUCACUGGGCGUAAAGGACGCGUAGGCGGGUUAUUAAGUCGGGUGUGAAUCCUACAGCUCAACUGUAGAACUGCAUUCGAAACUGAUAACCUAGAGUAUGGAAGGGGCAGGUGGAAUUAGUGGUGUAGGGGUAAAAUCCGUAGAUAUCACUAGGAAUACCGAAAGCGAAGGCGACCUGCUGGGACAUUACUGACGCUGAGGCGUGAAAGCGUGAGGAGCAAACAGGAUUAGAUACCCUAGUAGUCC